CCAAAUUCUCUUUUGUCACAAUGUGACAGUAUCUUUCCACUUUCCCCCUACUCCUGAAUGUCUAAAGAACUCUCAAUGCAUAUUAGCCAUCACCAUGGUUGAGACCCAGACCUCUGCAGAGACAAUCUUGAUCCUCUGGCUCCUGCUUCACAUUGCCCAUUCACCCUCAGCACUGAAAUCCUUACCUCAAGCGCUGGGAAUUCAGGCCAUGGAAGAUUAGGAGGCUCACAGCAGUGAUCAGUCAGAUUUUACUGUAAGAAGGAAGAAAACAAGGAUCCUGCUAGAACAACAUGGAAACAGGCUGAUCUUAGGACCUACAACAAAGAGAUUUCUCACUGGCUUCCUGGUGGUUCAUUCAAUAGGGAAUUCCUGCAGCAAGUUGGAGGGAGGGAGGAGAAGCAGGGAGGCCACCUCCUGUCAAAGCUGGGACAUCUGAGAGACAGUGGUCACACAACAACUCAACUGCAUGUGCACCUAAAACACACUGAUUCCAUGAACAGAGAUUCAUGCCACUGUGUAGUCUGCAACAAAACAUUGAAGAUGGUUUCCAAUAUCCAGAUGGACAGGCUGACCAUGAGUGCAAAUCUUCUUGUCCUUAGGAAAAAAAACUUCAAAGGGUAGACAACAGCCAAAUACCGAUCAACGGCAAUGCAGGAAAGACACACACAGAGAUCCAAUAUUGGCUGGAAUGCUGACUAUAAUCACAAAGAUGUAAACAAUGGGAAACAAAUAGUGAUCCAGGUCAUGCUGUUCUUCAAUACAUGUGCUGUUCAUUUUUUCCUUUUUAAGGUAGCAAUUAUAUUAGUUCUUAGAAAGUAAACAGAGAAGUCUUGUC
rnacentral:lncRNA from 1 species